rnacentral:rRNA from 1 species
UACGUAGGUGGCGAGCGUUGUCCGGAUUUACUGGGCGUAAAGGGCGUGCAGGCGGUUUGUUAAGUGCAGGGUGAAAGCUCCCGGCUCAACUGGGCGGGGUCGGCGGAUACGGCCGAGCUGGAGCAAGCUAGGGGGUAAUGGAAUUCCCGGUGUAGUGGUGGAAUGCGUAGAUAUCGGGAGGAACACCAGUGGCGAAGGCGGUUACCUGGAGCUUUGCUGACGCUGAUGCGCGAAAGCGUGGGGAGCGAUCCGG